GAGGCGGACAAAUGACCUGCUAACUCCAUAUGC
rnacentral:tRNA from 2 species